UUAGCUCCUUCCAAGAAGGAUGAAUGAUGCCAACAAGAAAAAGGCGCAGGGCCGCUGCGCUCCGGCCUCGUAGCCCGCGCUUAAUACGUAACCAUCAAAGGAGGGCUGUAAAGCCAGCGCAGGGGGGUUGGAGCUUACACCAGAACGGCAUGAAAGCAACGAGGCACGCAGUGCAUGCAUCAGAGCAGCAGCUCGCUUGGUGGGAGUGCGAGCCCGCCUCAGGCCACGAGAGGCAUGCAGGUGCUCGACUCCGUCGCCCGUCCGGCGUCCCCACCCCCAAAAGCCAUGGCAGCUAGCAGAGAAGGGAGGGAGAAACUGUAGCGGCCUGUGAGACGUCAGGAUGCAGCUAGCAGAGGCUCCUCUAGUGUUUGUUUUACUGUAUCAGCCGAUGGGUUGUUCUUGCAUUCUCGAACUUUAGAUCUGAAGGUUGGGAAGGUAAUCUACAAUUUUUGGGAUUAAGUCCCGCUUA